rnacentral:rRNA from 1 species
UACAGAGGGGGCAAGCGUUGUUCGGAAUUACUGGGCGUAAAGGGCGCGUAGGCGGCCUGCUAAGUCGAACGUGAAAUCCCUGGGCUCAACCCAGGAACUGCGUCCGAUACUGGUUGGCUUGAAUCCGGGAGAGGGAUGUGGAAUUCCAGGUGUAGCGGUGAAAUGCGUAGAUAUCUGGAGGAACACCGGUGGCGAAGGCGGCAUCCUGGACCAAUAUUGACGCUGAGGAGCGAAAGCCAGGGGAGCAAACGGG